rnacentral:rRNA from 1 species
AGAGCGAACGCUGGCGGCAGGCCUAACACAUGCAAGUCGAACGGACUCUUCGGAGUUAGUGGCGGACGGGUGAGUAACACGUGGGAACGUGCCUUUAGGUUCGGAAUAGCUCCUGGAAACGGGUGGUAAUGCCGAAUGUGCCCUUCGGGGGAAAGAUUUAUCGCCUUUAGAGCGGCCCGCGUCUGAUUAGCUAGUUGGUGAGGUAAAGGCUCACCAAGGCUACGAUCAGUAGCUGGUCUGAGAGGAUGACCAGCCACAUUGGGACUGAGACACGGCCCAAACUCCUACGGGAGGCAGCAGUGGGGGAAUCGUUGCGCAAUGGGCGAAAGCCUGACGCAGCCAUGCCGCGUGAAUGAUGAAGGUCUUAGGAUUGUAAAAUUCUUUCAGUAGGACGAUAAUGACGUACUACAGAAGAAGCCCGCUAACUCGUGCCAGCAGCCGC